AUCUCUCUCUCCAGGCACAAGCGCUCAAUUAGCUGCACUGACAGAUCUUAAAAGACCACUUGAAUUAAGCAAUUGAAAGUGGUAAAAGUUACAGGUAUCAACUCCUGGAUACAUCACACUGGAGUCAAAGCCUGGAAAGCUGUGGGAGCAACCCCUGACAGCCCCAAGGAACAUCCUGAAUAUCAAUGUGAAUAAAUAGGAGAUCUAAAGCUACAAACCAUAAAAGAAGUAAUCAAACUCCAAAUGGUGCUGCAGACAGAACCAUCCGUGGACACGCCUUUCUUCUGAGGACCCUUAGAUUGACCCCAGGAGGAGCCCUAACUGCUGUUCCCUACACAACACUCCUUUUCAGCAAUAAGUACCAGAGAGACUCAUCAUCCAACACCCCCUAACAGCAGUUAGGGAUACCACUCCUGAGGGGGAAAUGAUACAGGAGCUAAACAUAAAUUAUUUAGGCAGAUUGUGAGGACAAAAGAGUCCUCAGUAAGGUUUCCUUUUAACAAAUAGCAGCCCCAAAAUUAUUUCUAACAAAAAGCAGCCUGAAAAAUCAAGCUGCAAGCAUACAUAAGCAAGCUGGAAGCUUGCGCUGGCAGCUCUGCCAAUAGAAAAGGAAUAGCUGGAAGCCGGCUAUAGUCAGCAUGGAGGUUCCUUUUCCCCUUUUUCACCACAUGUGCAGUAAAAAGCAGACAACAUGGUACCAGUCCAGUAGAGACCCCAUUUGCAUAAUAAAAGAUUACAGUGGGGUGGCCAGUCUCUUUAUCUGCUAUGUAAAUAGCACACUUGAUCCAAUGAAUCCUCUGUGCCCUACAUAAAUCAGACAACACUUCCUCAAGCUCAUAUAUAAAACCAACCCAGAAACCUGUUUGGGACCCCCUUCUCUGAAUGAAGAAGCCCUCUUCUUUCUUUCAACUAUUAAACUUCUGCUCUUUAA